AUUUCCUUGGCUCUCAUGUGCUGGUAGCUUGAAGCCAUGAGCCAAGCGGCUUUGCCUAACCACGGCCUUCUGCCACGUCUGUGCCUUAGAACACAUCAAUCGUGGAAUGAAGCAUCUGAAACUUUAAAUCAACACAAGCUUCUCCUCCUUCACAUUACAGAUACCAGGAACCUGGAAAGAGCUGAAGCUGCUCUGUGUGAAGAGGGAAUGGCCAAGGCUACCCCGUGUCUUAUAUGUCAGCCCCU